CCAGUUCUAUUCUGCCAAUGCCAAAAGACUGGACCUGUGCCAGGGAGUGGUAGGUGAUUGCUGGUUCUUGGCCGCUUUGCAAGCCCUGACUUUGCACCAGGACAUCCUGAGCCGUGUCGUUCCCCUGAAUCAGAAUUUCACUGAGAAGUAUGCCGGCAUUUUCCAGUUCUGGUUCUGGCACUUUGGGAAGUGGGUGCCUGUGGUGAUAGAUGACCGACUCCCUGUGAA